rnacentral:rRNA from 1 species
ACCUGGGCAUCUUCUUGGAGAACGUGUCUGCACUUGACUGUGUGGUGCGGUAUCCAGGACUUUUACUUUGAGGAAAUUAGAGUGUUUCAAGCAGGCCCACGCCUUGAAUACAUUAGCAUGGAAUAAUAAGAUAGGACCUCGGUUCUAUUUUGUUGGUUUCUAGAGCUGAGGUAAUGAUUAAUAGGGAUAGUUGGGGGCAUUCGUAUUUAACUGUCAGAGGUGAAAUUCUUGGAUUUG